AAUUCAUCAUAUUAUAUUAAAUAAGUAGGCUAAGUGUUAAGUUUUAGCCCAACAAGGGGGUUUAACCUUGGAAGUAGGUCCCGAUGACAUGUACAUCGGAAAACAGGAUUUAGUCAAAUGCCUCGUCAUCUAAUUAGUGACGCGCAUGAAUGGAUUAACGAGAUUCCCACCGUCCCUAUCUACUGUCUAGCGAAACCACUGCCAAGGGAACGGGCUUGGAAAAAUUAGCGGGGAAAGAAGACCCUGUU
rnacentral:ncRNA from 1 species